rnacentral:snRNA from 1 species
GUGCUCGCUGCGGUAGCACAUACACUAAAAUUAGAAUGGUACAGAGAAGAUUAGCACGGUCCCUGCGCAAUAGCCACACGCACAUCCGUGAGGUGUCCCACAUUUUU